UACGUAGGGCGCAAGCGUUGUCCGGAAUUAUUGGGCGUAAAGGGCGCGUAGGCGGCCACCGCAAGUCGACUGUGAAAUCUCCGGGCUUAACUCGGAAAGGUCAGCCGAUACUGCGGGGCUAGAGUGCAGAAGGGGCAACUGGAAUUCUCGGUGUAGCGGUGAAAUGCGUAGAUAUCAAGAGGAACACCUGAGGCGAAGGCGGGUUGCUAGGCUGACACUGACGCUGAGGCGCGAAAGCUAGGGUAGCAACGGG
rnacentral:rRNA from 1 species